GUGUGGCAUAUGGGAGAGAGGCAGCGCCCCAUAUGAUGAAAAGAACUCGUGGUUACUGUGGUUUCAUUACUCUUCCCAGGCGCUUUAGAAAUGAUACCUGUGAGGAGUGAAAUUUAGUUUGGAGAAAGCACCAUAUCAAGAAAUCUGCUGGCAUCACCCCAAAGAAGAGAUUAUAUUUUUCCUUUGGCUUGGGCAUAGUCCCCCCUCCCCCCCUCUUUGAGUGUGACUGCUUCAUCUUUCUUUGGAAGAAAAUAAAGUCUCAGCACAG